GAUUCAUUUCUAGGAAGUCGGUGCAAACUGGCCCUGCCUCCAGACCCUAUUCUCCAGCAUGAAUUGCAUCUCAUCAAUGUCAUUUUCACUUUUGAUGAUGAAGGCUGAUUACCUUGUAGAGAGAGAAGUCAUAGGGAUGUUAUGUCCAUGGAGCGUGGCCUUAAGUGGACCUAUUUCUUGGGGUCUCCAGAUCUGUUUGGAACUUCAAAAUUAUUCAAGAAAAGGUGUCUCAUCAGCAGAAGACUGAACAGUUUUACCUAAUGGUAUCUUGAGUAGAAAUGUAACCUAGAAGAGUUUAUUGAAAAUCCUCCUGGCUGAUGCUUAUUUCUUGGAAUCCUGAGUCUUACACUUGCUACCUAAUAAAAAGAAGGAAGAUUCUUCUCAGCAAGGUGAGAAAACAGGCUGAGAGAAGUUGGAAGAAACACAGGAGCAGGGAUCCCACAUUAGACAGUCUGAUUCCAGAGAUCAGGACCUUGGCUGCAACACUAUAUGGGCUCUGGGAAAUCCAAGAGGCCUGUUUUCACCUGCACAGCAUUUCUACCUGCCCAUGAAAGGCAGACUUACGCACUUUGAUGUCAAAGACCAACCAGAAAGGUAACUUUAGAGAUGCUCACCCGAACGCCCCCUGUGCACUGCCUCUCUUCAAUGAUCCUGACCUCAUCGUACCUUUUGGGAGUGGCUCUGAGUCUGUGUUUCCACCACUGACUCCUUUGAAGAAGAUCGUCAGCCUUGGGUCUGGAAUGUAGCCCAUUAAUGUUCCCCUUGACCUUUGGUGGAAACGCUGCCAUUUCCUGUCCUGGUUCCUCAUCUUCUCUCAUGUGCCUAAACACUGACCCCAAGUGGGAGAGAAGAUACAGUCAAGUUCUUCGCCUUGACACUGUUCUCUGCAAAGUCAAAGUCACUUUCAGUCUUGAUUUUAACCAGAGCUUAUUUCCUCCCACCAGUGUUGGGAUGAAAGUCAAAGAUGAAGUGAAAGACAGAUUGUGUAACUUUUAUUUUUAAAAGAGUGUUUAAUUUUGGAAGGUAUGAUUAAUAUUUCAAUACUGCUUCUAAUGGCUUCAUUUAUUUUUUUUUCAGCCAAUAAGAAGUGAGAAAUCCUGUCUCCGUAGCCAAAAUCUCAUAUAAUUCCUCCCCAGCAAUACAGAAGUCUCUCUGUUGCUACCUAGAGUAAAAAUGUCAAUACACAUCAUGUAUUAAAAUUCACCUGUAUUUUCUCAACACCUUUUCGAUAUCUUUCCAAAUUGCUUUAGUAAUCUCUGGCAUCAAGAACUGGUAAGAGUAUGUGGCAUUUUCCUUCCUGUUUGAGUAACACCUAUUAAGAGAGGUGGCAAUUAAAAUCAAAUUGUAAUUUUUAAACCUUAAGGGAAGCUAUUGCAGUAUUGCUAAGAACAUUCAGUUACCGGUAUGUUAGCUAACACCUACACCCGCUGCGAUUAGCGAUGAAACAAACUUCUACGGACCUUAAAAAACCAAACGUCUCCUUUAAAAUAAUCAUCCUAUGAGUAAACAGUCCUGUUCACACAUGUAUAUGAGAUGUCAUCCUUUCUUUGCCGUUACAGCGCUCCGCCUUGCCAAUGCUGCUGAGCACUGACUCACUCACAGGGCAUUUGGAAGGUGGGCGAUUUGUUCCUGCAGCAUCAUUGCACUCCAAAUGUGCUGAGAAUGGAUGUAGCCUCCAAUGCUGCCGUGCCAGCAGCAGCUUAGAUCAGAGGGAUCAGCAGAGGCUAUUGUCCAUUCCUCAGCAAUGCACUUGACCUUGAGAGCUAUAUAGAAUGGAAGGAAACCCACUAAAGCCAAAUUCAUGUCCUAAGAUUUAUAUCCUUUUUAGGGAUCCCACCCCUGGAACGUAAUUCAGGUCCAAAUCCUCUUCUUCUCCUUUCCAACUGCCACUGCCUUAGAGUAGUGGACUUAUCUCCACCUGCACAUUUUAGAGUCACUUGGGGCAAGGCAGGGGGCAGACGUUAAAACAUACCAGUGUCAAGGUACCAUCCCAGAGACUCUAAAUUAAUUAGUCUGUGUUGUGCCUGAAAUGAGUACUUUUUAAUACCUCCCUAGGUAUUUCUAAAGUACAGCUAGGACUGGAAACCACUGGAGUCCAGCACAAGCCUUUCUCAUUUCUUUCCUGGUUUAUGGCAAAUGCCUCCUGAAUGCCCUUCAUCUUUUGUGCCUGAGGCUAAUCACCUUUAAUGUGUUAUAAUGAUUGAAUUAUUUUUGUAUUAAUCCAUGUUUGAUGUAGAAAAAUGAGAAAAUAAAAAGCAGA
rnacentral:lncRNA from 1 species